rnacentral:rRNA from 1 species
UACGUAGGGUGCGAGCGUUAGUCGGAAUUACUGGGCGUAAAGCGCGUGUAGGCGGCUCUUCAAGUCAGGCGUGAAAGCCCCGGGCUCAACUCGGGAACUGCGCUUGAUACUGUCGAGCUAGAGUGUGGAAGGGGCGAUUGGAAUUCCGUGUGUAGCGGUGAAAUGCGUAGAUAUACGGAGGAACACCAGAGGCGAAGGCGGAUCGCUGGGCCAACACUGACGCUGAGACGCGAAAGCUAGGGUAGCAAACGGG